GACGAACGCUGGCGGCGUGCUUAAUACAUGCAAGUCGAGCGAGGUUACUGUUUUGGAUCCCUUCGGGGUGAAGAAGCUUUAACCUAGCGGCGGACGGGUGAGUAACGCGUGGGUAACCUACCCCAAAGUCCGGGAUAACAGCGGGAAACCGCUGCUAAUACCGGAUGCCUUUACCUUGGGGCAUCUUGAGGUAAAGAAAGGUAACGCUUUGGGAUGGGCCCGCGUCCCAUUAGCUAGUUGGUGAGGUAACGGCUCACCAAGGCGACGAUGGGUAGCCGGCCUGAGAGGGUGGACGGCCACACUGGGACUGAGACACGGCCCAGACUCCUACGGGGGGCAGCAGUAGGGAAUUUUCGGCAAUGGGCGAAAGCCUGACCGAGCGACGCCGCGUGAGGGACGAAGGCCUUCGGGUUGUAACCUCUGUCUGGGGGAUGAGAACGGACGGUACCCCGGAGGAAGCCCGGCUAACUACGUG
rnacentral:rRNA from 1 species